ensembl:rRNA 5S_rRNA 5S ribosomal RNA
GCCCGCGGCCAUACCACCCUGAAUACUCCCGAUCUCCGAAGCUAAGUAGGGUCGGGUCUGGUUAGUACUGGGAAGGGAGACCUCCUGGGAAUACCAGGUGUUGUAAGCU